AGUGAACGCUGGCGGUAGGCCUAACACAUGCAAGUCGAACGGCAGCACAGUAAGAGCUUGCUCUUACGGGUGGCGAGUGGCGGACGGGUGAGGAAUACAUCGGAAUCUACUUUUUCGUGGGGGAUAACGUAGGGAAACUUACGCUAAUACCGCAUACGACCUACGGGUGAAAGCAGGGGAUCUUCGGACCUUGCGCGAUUGAAUGAGCCGAUGUCGGAUUAGCUAGUUGGCGGGGUAAAGGCCCACCAAGGCGACGAUCCGUAGCUGGUCUGAGAGGAUGAUCAGCCACACUGGAACUGAGACACGGUCCAGACUCCUACGGGAGGCAGCAGUGGGGAAUAUUGGACAAUGGGCGCAAGCCUGAUCCAGCCAUACCGCGGGGGUGAAGAAGGCCUUCGGGUUGUAAAGCCCUUUUGUUGGGAAAGAAAAGCAGCAGGUUAAUACCCCGCUGUUCGGACGGUACCCAAAGAAUAAGCACCGGCUAACUUCGG
rnacentral:rRNA from 1 species